GUUGACCUCGGAUCAGGUAGGGAUACCCGCUGAACUUAAGCAUAUCAAUAAGCGGAGGAAAAGAAACCAACAGGGAUUGCUCUAGUAACGGCGAGUGAAGCAGCAAUAGCUCAAAUUUGAAAUCUGGCGUCUUCGACGUCCGAGUUGUAAUUUGUAGAGGAUGCUUCUGAGUGGCCACCGACCUAAGUUCCUUGGAACAGGACGUCAUAGAGGGUGAGAAUCCCGUAUGCGGUC
rnacentral:rRNA from 1 species